UACGAAGGGGGCUAGCGUUGUUCGGAAUUACUGGGCGUAAAGCGCGCGCAGGCGGUUUCUCAAGUCAGUGGUGAAAGCCCGGAGCUCAACUCCGGAACUGCCAUUGAAACUGUGAGACUUGAGGACGAGAGAGGUGAGUGGAAUUCCCAGUGUAGAGGUGAAAUUCGUAGAUAUUGGGAAGAACACCGGUGGCGAAGGCGGCUAUCUGGACUGUGAUUGACGCUGAGGCGCGAAAGCGUGGGGAGCAAACAGG
rnacentral:rRNA from 1 species